CAUGCAGUCGAACGGUGAUCUUCGGGGCUUGCUUCGGGGUGAUCAGUGGCGAACGGGUGAGUAACACGUGAGUAACCUGCCCCUGACUCUGGGAUAACUUCGGGAAACCGUAGCUAAUACCGGAUAUGACACGGAGACGCAUGUCUAUCGUGUGGAAAGUUUUUCGGUCUGGGAUGGACUCGCGGCCUAUCAGCUUGUUGGUGAGGUAAUGGCUCACCAAGGCGACGACGGGUAGCCGGCCUGAGAGGGCGAUCGGCCACACUGGGACUGAGACACGGCCCAGACUCCUACGGGAGGCAGCAGUGGGGAAUAUUGCACAAUGGGCGCAAGCCUGAUGCAGCGACGCCGCGUGAGGGAUGACGGCCUUUGGGUUGUAAACCUCUUUCAGCAGGGAAGAAGCGCAAGUGACGGUACCUGCAGAAGAAGCACCGGCUAACUACGUGCCAGCAGCCGCGGUAAUACGUAGGGUGCGAGCGUUGUCCGGAAUUAUUGGGCGUAAAGAGCUUGUAGGCGGUUUGUCGCGUCUGCUGUGAAAAUCCGGGGCUCAACCCCGGACUUGCAGUGGGUACGGGCAGACUAGAGUGUGGUAGGGGAGACUGGAAUUCCUGGUGUAGCGGUGAAAUGCGCAGAUAUCAGGAGGAACACCGAUGGCGAANGCAGGUCUCUGGGCCAUUACUGACGCUGAGAAGCGAAAGCAUGGGGAGCGAACAGGAUUAGAUACCCUGGUAGUCCAUGCCGUAAACGUUGGGAACUAGGUGUGGGUCUCAUUCCACGAGAUCCGUGCCGCAGCUAACGCAUUAAGUUCCCCGCCUGGGGAGUACGGCCGCAAGGCUAAAACUCAAAGGAAUUGACGG
rnacentral:rRNA from 1 species